UUCAUAGGGGUGAACAAAAAAAGAUUGUUUUAUACUGUCAGGUUUGAGGUAACGGUAGGUUAUACUUUGUGUAUAAUGUAUUAAGGGGAGAUAAUCAAUCCAAAUGACUUCAUAGGGUGAACAAUAAAGAUUUGUUUUAUACUGUCAGGUUUGAGGUAAUGGUAGGUUAUACUUUGUGUAUAAUGUAUAAAGGGGAGAUAAUCAAUCCAAAUGACUUCAUAGGGGUUG
rnacentral:lncRNA from 1 species